rnacentral:lncRNA from 1 species
UUGGGCCAGCUACCCUGCUGGGCUGUGGCUCCUUGGUCAGCUCUGCGAGCAGGGACAGACCCCAGACUGGGAACAUCAUCCAUCCCAGACAGGAGCUCCUCUGUCUAGCUGGAGAGGAAAACACCAAAAGAAGGAAAGACAGCGCUGUGUGGCAAGGCCGGUAUGGGAGAACACACGGUUCUGAAAGGGCACAGAGGAGGAAACUCCUGCCUUCCUGGGCAAUCCAAGCAGGAGUCCCGGAGGAGGUGGCAGUUCCUAAAAAAGGCGAAAGGGGUCUGCCAGCUGGAGCAGCAGGCUGUGCCAAGGCGGGCACAGGCAGGAGCAACAGGCUUGUGCAGUUGAAGCAAGCGGGGUGGGAGGAGUCUGGGGAGGCCAGGAAGGCGGGUGCAGUGAGAGCACAUGGCCUCCUGGGCCAGCUGGGGGAGCAGGAACCUCAUCCUUCGGCAGGCAGUGAUGCCUGGGCUGGAAACACCAGGCUGGGAGCGAGCCACCGAUCCAGAGGCGGCUCUAUGAGCCUUUGGCCGGGAACGCCGCCGCCAAGGGCCUGGCCUGGGGCUGGGAAACUCUUUUGCCUUGGAUCUGGCAGGAAGACUGAUGGCCUGCUGCUGGGCUUGGGCCCGGCCUCGGCCUCGGAGACCCCUGGGUCUGCUUCAGGCGCCUAAUGAAAUGCUUGGAAGAGCAGAUGGUCGUAGUAUUUUGGCUUGGAGAGAAAUGUGAGUCCUGUAGGGCCCCAGGCGGGCACUGGGGGCUGGAGGAGAGGCCAAAUGUGCUCUGGCCAUUCUCCGAGGCCCACGAGAAUCCACUCAACCUGAGCCCCCAGCAGGAUCUUAGGCUGGGCCUGGGGCCAGCCUGGGGGUCCCAAUAGGAGUUGAGUUGUAAGGAGGUCUGAGCUCUGCAGUCCUCUCAUCCUCCUAUUGGUGCAAACUGCUCAGGGAGGGGCCUGCAGUGCAGCACGUACUAGGCACCGAGUUCUUCUGAAGGAGGAAAAGGCCGAAGCAUGGGGGCUUAGAGGAGCCCAGAAGGCCCUAACCCAGCUUAGGCAGGCAAGGAAGACUUCCUGGAGGAGCUGGUGCCCAACCCAAGUCCUAAAGUAGGAGUCAGUCAGGGUAGAUGGGGAAGGGAACGAUGGAAGAACAUGGGCGGGCACAGGCCACCUGGAGUCGGGCACAGCCACAGGUACAGAGGGGCCCCAGCAGGAAGUGAGGUGGGGACAGUCUCAAAGGCUUCUGUCAGUCCUCUUUGAAAUUGAGGCUGUAAAUUGUCCUGAGG